rnacentral:lncRNA from 1 species
UAUGUUCUAUGUACACUCUUAAUUGGCAUUCUUGAUUAUCUUCUAACUUGGGUAAGAUAAAAAUAAUCCAAAUUGACUGUCUAUGGAUGUGCAGGUUAUACUGUGCAAUGACUGUGAGAAAAGAGGAUCUGUGUCCUUUCACUGGCUCUACCACAAGUGCUCUCACUGUGGUUCAUACAAUACCAGGCUCCUAUGACUCAAAUACUUGGCAAGUUUGGAUUUUGUGUCUUACUCAUCUAGAAACAAAUAAGUCCUGUCGAUUCGUGUGUCAUGUAUGAAACCUAUCAAUUUCCAAGUUUGGAUUUUGUGUCUUACUCAUCUAGAAAUAAAUAAGUCCUGUCGGAUUCGUGUGUCAUGUAUGAAACCUAUCAAUUUCCUCGACUAAUAUAAUUUAUUUUAUCUUUAUAUCUCCA